rnacentral:lncRNA from 1 species
UACAAACAUUGCACAGACUAUUUUAAUAACAUGAUUUGUCCUCUAACGUUUACGUGUUUCCUGAGGAUGUUCUUACAGAGGUUGGAUGCACCUGCCUUUGGAUCAAUUAUUUAAGCAUUGAGUGCAUUAGAAUUUAUUUACAGAGUGCAUGAUGUUCUGACUCUAGUUUAGAUUUAUUUAAGAAACCAAAUCUCCAGAUUUUUUCAGGACACAGGAUCUUAGACUUAAAAGUCCUUCACUUUUAAAUCCACAACUUUGUUUCAAUUUGGUCUUAGUAUCUGGAUAGAAUUUCUGCAUUGCCUUGGAGUGAUGCUAAAUUAAUUUUAUACACUUAAAUGACCACUGUUUUAUUUAUAAUGAAGUUUAGAUGAGUGAUGAAAGCAUUUUUGUGGGUAAAAACUUUUAGUAUUAUGUGAAUUUUGAGACAUUGAUUUAUGUAUUUUUUUGACAAAGCCCUUGUAUUUAAGCAUAUAUGAUACUUCCUUGUCUGGAAGAAAAUCAGAAAAUAUGAUAUUGCUGAUAUUAUACGAGCUUUUGAUUCAUAUGGAACUAGUUUCAAGUUCAUCACUUUAUGUCAAAAAAUGACUUCUUUUGCAGUAGGUAUUCAAAUUCCUUCCACUUGCUUGAAUUUAUAUUCUUUUAAAGCUAUUGUGUGAUUUCUGAAAUUAAGUGGACAAUUAUAAGUAGAAAUUGAGUAAUAGUAUUUAACAAGAUAAGUGAGUGUAUGUGGGCUUAAAUAGAUGUUACAAUACAGCUACAUACUGAACUUUGUUCGUGCCAUUGAAACAAAAUCAUUUACAAUGUGUGUGCGCCCUGGUUUCAGCAAGCUGACUCGCCUUCCCAGCUCCUUCUCCUUUUGAACUCAUCCUGCAACAUUAACUCUGUCCACGAGCUUUGCUGGUGCAUAGUUGCUCACUUGAGUUAGGUGUUGCCAGUUCCCCAGAGUCUCCCUGUUGAAGUUUGUGUAUAUGUAAGCGUGUGGAGAACUGUAAACUACAUUCACACCUGUUUACUUUGAGCAAAUUUGUUUCCUUCUUUGUAAUGUAAAGAAAUUCAGCGUUACCAAAUUCCUUCAGUGUGAGUUUAGAUUAUUUUAUGUGCCUUUCAUGAAAGAUCCAUUUCCAUUCAUUUACUAAUGGAAGACCUGUCAGACCCACAUUGCGAAGCUAUGUAUGAAAUUCAAGUAUACUCUGGAUAAAUUUGAAUGGUGAAAAGUAGUGUUUAAAAGCCACAAAGAAGCACAUAUUGGUGACCAUCAUUGGUGAAUCCCUGAACUCUAGUCUGUGUAACUGUGCUACUAAUACAUCCCAAUAAAUCUAAAUUUUUAAAAUUU